rnacentral:rRNA from 1 species
CCUACGGGAGGCUGCAGUGGGGAAUAUUGCGCAAUGGGCGCAAGUCUGACCCAGCGACGCCGCGUGAAGGAAGAAGGCUUUCGGGUUGUAAACUUCUUUUAAGGGGGAAGAGCAGAAGACGGUACCCCUUGAAUAAGCCACGGCUAACUACGUGCCAGCAGCCGCGGUAAUACGGAGGUGGCAAGCGUUGUCCGGAUUUACUGGGUGUAAAGGGCGUGCAGCCGGAGAGAAAAGGAAGAUGUGAAAUCCACGGGCUCAACCCGUGAACUGCAUUUGAAACUGUGUCCCUUGAGUGGCGGAGAGGGAAUCGGAAUUCCUGGUGUAGCGGUGAAAUGCGUAGAUAUAAGGAAGAACACCAGCGGCGAAGGCGGAUUACUGGACGAUAACUGACGGUGAGGCGCGAAAGCGUGGGGAGCAAACAGGAUUAGAUACCCUUGUAGUC